CGCUGCCCUACCGGGAGGGGACACAUUGCUUUCCCGGCACCAGGAGUGGCAAAGGCCACGUUAACUUGAGAGUCAUACUCAGCAUUCACAAAGCCCACCCUGCAAAGCUAAUUAAAGGAUGUUGUUCCUGUCACAGUGGAAGCUGCUGAAGAAACUCUCCUCAGAGCAUGUUCCCUGACAACCUGCCUCCAGCUGUUCUAUUUUACGAAAAGGAAGACAUUCUCUGAGUUUAGAGACCCCUAUAGACUCUCAAACCCUCUGGAGCAUCUUCUCAAGACGGCAACUCAAGCCAACUGCCUUAAAAAUUGUGCUUCAUGAUGAC